UACGUAGGGUGCAAGCGUUGUCCGGAAUUAUUGGGCGUAAAGAGCUCGUAGGCGGUUUGUUGCGUCGGCUGUGAAAUCCCGAGGCUCAACCUCGGGUCUGCAGUCGAUACGAGCAAACUAGAGUGUUGCAGGGGAGACUGGAAUUCCUGGUGUAGCGGUGAAAUGCGCAGAUAUCAGGAGGAACACCGGUGGCGAAGGCGGGUCUCUGGGCCGAUACUGACGCUGAGGAGCGAAAGCGUGGGGAGCAAACGGG
rnacentral:rRNA from 1 species